CGAAGAAGGGGGAGGCACCCCCCGCGAGGCGGGGACUGAGAGCCAGCCCCUCUUCCCCCACUGGCUCUUGGGAACCCCAUCGCAGUGGGGGAGGCACCACCCGCGAGGUGGGGACUGAGAGCCAGCCUCUCUUCCAGCCCUGGCUAGGACCCCCAUCACGGAUCCGAAGAUCCUUAGGACCCACCUGGAGGACUGUGGGUACUAGGUGUCCAGGAAGAAAGCUCAGAUCUGCCGACGGCAGGUACCUUACUUGGGAUUCACUGUCCGACAGGGGUCCGAACGCAGCCCGGGAUCACAAAGAAAGCAUGUCCUUUGCAAUCUCCGGGAGCCUAAGGGCAGAAGGCAGGACCGUGGGAACAAUAUCCCAGGGGGGUUUCCCCCUUCUGCCAUAUAUGUAGUCACAUCACCCACUCCGCUUUGGAAUAUUAUUAAGGACCAUCUAACAAGAGGGUGUAUACGUCCUGCGAUAUUGGGAGUAAUAUCAACUUCUCGGCCUCUGAAUAUGAGGAAGAAUAUCACAGGAUGGGUGUACGCCUCGUGCUCUAUUAUGCGGAGUCAUAUCUCUCUAUUAUGGGGAGUAAUAUCAUUCUCUCCCUUUCAGGAUGUUAAUAACAAUUUCACAGGCUGGGUGAACAGAGCCGGCGAUGCUGAAAUUAUUAUCAUCCUCUCCCCCUCUUCCCCUCCCGGCUCUUAGGACCCCCAUCGCAGGGGGCGGAGGCACCCCCUGCGAGGCAGGGACUGAGAGCCAACCCCUCUUCAACCCCUGGCUCUUAGGACACCCGUCGCAAGGGGGGGGCACCCCCCGCGAGGCGGGGACUGAGAGCCAGCCCCUCUUCCCCCCUGGCCCUUGGGACCCCCAUCGCAGGGGGGGGAGGCACCCCCCUCGAAGAGGGGACUGAGAGCCACCCCAAUUCCCCCCUGGCUCUUGGGAACCCCAUCGCAGUGGGGUGAGGCACCCCCCGCGAGACGGGGACUGAGAGCCAGCCCCUCUUCCCCCCCCAGGCACUUGGGACCCCCAUCGCAGGGGGGUGAGGCACCCUCUGCGAGGCGGGGACUGAGAGCCAACCCUCUUUCCCCCUGGCUCUUAGGACCCCCAUCACAGUGGGGGGAGGCACCCCCCGCGAGGCGGGGACUGAGUGCCAGCCCCUCUUCCCUAGCCUCUUCUUCAGGGCUGAGAGAAUUUUGAGCGCUAGCCGUCUCUCGAUCGCUGGCUAAUAAAGAACUCCUGAAUUAGU